UUCUCUCAGCCAUGAGGGAAUUUAUUUUUCCCCGGUGAUUCUUUUUAUGAGAAUAUUUUUCACUCCAUUGGCGUUUUCCUGUGAGGCAAGUUGUGUUCACUAUUCCGCUGUUGCACGCCUCUGUUAUUCUUGUGUGAUACGUCUCUUUGCUAUUUUCAUCUGAGAAGUUCUAUUGAAAACUGCAUUUGAAGAUGUUCUACUUUACUUCAUGACUGUGUGCUUAUGUUGAUUUGAAGAAAGG
rnacentral:lncRNA from 1 species